AACGAACGCUGGCGGCGUGCCUAACACAUGCAAGUCGAACGAGAAGUACGUAGCAAUACGUAUUGUAAAGUGGCGCACGGGUGAGUAACACGUGGGUAAUCUGCCCUUGAGUUUGGGAUAACACCGCGAAAGCGGGGCUAAUACCGAAUAAGACCACGGGGACCAAAGUCCCUGAGGUAAAAGGUGGCUGCUAUUUAUAAGCUACCACUUGAGGAUGAGCCCGCGGCCCAUUAGCUAGUUGGCAGGGUAACGGCCUACCAAGGCGAUGAUGGGUAGCUGGUCUGAGAGGACGAUCAGCCACACUGGAACUGAGACACGGUCCAGACUCCUACGGGAGGCAGCAGUGGGGAAUAUUGCGCAAUGGGCGAAAGCCUGACGCAGCAACGCCGCGUGGGGGAUGAAGGUUCUCGGAUUGUAAACCCCUUUCGAUCGGAACGAAUCUCCUCCUGGUAAAUAAUCAGGAGGAUCGACGGUACCGGGAGAAGAAGCCACGGCUAACUCUGUGCCAGCAGCCGCCGUAACAC
rnacentral:rRNA from 1 species